rnacentral:tRNA from 1 species
GGGUAGGUACCAGAGCGGUCAAAUGGGGCGGACUGUAAAUCCGCUGGCUUCGCCUACGGGGGUUCGAAUCCCUCCCUGCCCACCA